CUUUUUGAUGUUGAUUUGGAGGGUACAGGGAUGAUUUUCUUGAGUAUUACGGUUUGGUACAAAUUUCUGUGGCAGCGAAAUAUGCAAGUAUAUUGCUACACAAAUUGACCGUUCACAAAACUAUUCUUAUUCAUUCAUUUUUUUUCGUUACUGCUAAAAUUACGGGAUGGGUCCGUUUACCCUUAAGUUUGCCGUGGAAGAACUUACUGCACAGAUAGAAGAAUUUGCAGCAUCAACAUUCUCGUCAUCCUGUGAAUUCAUGAAAUUUAUCCUCCCAAAGAUGAUUCUACUAAUCCAAGGCUUAUCAUCCACUGGGCUCGCUACCCGAAUAAUUCUUGGAGCGGCGUUAUCCUCCUUAUUAUUCCAGUACAGAAUAAGCAAUGAUGCCGGUUACGAAAACGUCAGACAGUUUCAAGUUCUGAAUUUACCCGUCUUUCUGGAAAUUAUCUACAUUCUCUUCGUCUUUUCAUUUUCUUGGUCAGCAACAAAUCUUAUGGUUGGAUAUGUGGCGAAGAGUAGGCAAUUGCUGAAACAAGAAUACGUUCAUCACUUUGUCAUUGAUAUAUUUCUCGGAAGUUCGUGCGGCUAUUUUGCUAACGUUUUGUGGACUAGAACAUUGGGGACGGUUACGAACUUUGGCGAUUCAAAACUAUUGGCAGUGGGCUAUGUACAUACUAAAUCGCUUUUUGAAUGAUAACUUAAAUUGAGACCGACAUAAUACAUACUCUGAUUUAAAAUAGAUUCCACAGACGAGUGACUUUUUGCUUUCACCAGCCCCCCUGGUUCUCAUUGGUGUUGUUAUUGUGUCAAGUUGGCUCACGGGUUACUUUCCAAGACCUGCAAUGCGGAUGGAAAAAGAAUGCAAAAAGUGACAACUACCCUCAAAUAAGCUUUAUAUCUGAGAAGAAAUGCUGAAAGUGAAUGAAAGUACAGCUAACCAACGGGAAUAACAUGUAAUCGUAAUUGUAGUGUGAUUCCAAUCUUUAUGUGUCAUUAAAGCAAAUGAAAAUCA